AUACGUAGGGUGCAAGCGUUAAUCGGAAUUACUGGGCGUAAAGCGUGCGCAGGCGGUUUUGUAAGACAGUGGUGAAAUCCCCGGGCUCAAACUGGGAACUGCCAUUGUGACUGCAAGGCUGGAGUGCGGCAGAGGGGGAUGGAAUUCCGCGUGUAGCAGUGAAAUGCGCAGAUAUGCGGAGGAACACCGAUGGCGAAGGCAAUCCCCUGGGCCUGCACUGACGCUCAUGCACGAAAGCGUGGGGAGCAAACAGGAUUAGAUACCCUGGUAGUCCACGCCCUAAACGAUGUCAACUGGUUGUUGGGGAUUUAUUUUCUCAGUAACGAAGCUAACGCGUGAAGUUGACCGCCUGGGGAGUACGGCCGCAAGGUUAAAACUCAAAUGAAUUGGCGGGG
rnacentral:rRNA from 1 species